rnacentral:rRNA from 1 species
GGUAAUGUCUGGGAAACUGCCUGAUGGAGGGGGAUAACUACUGGAAACGGUAGCUAAUACCGCAUAACGUCGCAAGACCAAAGAGGGGGACCUUCGGGCCUCUUGCCAUCGGAUGUGCCCAGAUGGGAUUAGCUAGUAGGUGGGGUAACGGCUCACCUAGGCGACGAUCCUUAGCUGGUCUGAGAGGAUGACCAGCCACACUGGAACUGAGACACGGUCCAG